GCUAUCUCCUUCCCCAUUCAGCAACAAAACACGCUGAACAGCCUUGGGGGAGAGGAGAGCUCCCUAACCCUCACCACCACUUUAAUCCACCAUAACUCCUUCGUUCGAGCUCCGAUCGUCGUACCGUUUGCGGUCACGCAUUCAGCGCGUCAAGCUCUAUGUUUCUAUCGUAUCAAUUUCACGGGUUCGAUUUAGCUUGCGGAGCUUGUCGGGCUUGAGUUGUUUUGUUCGUGGGGAUGGAAUUGAAUUGUGGACAUUUGGAGGCUUGGUGGAGGAUUGGUGCUGAGGUUUUGGUUAUUUUUAAAACUUGUGAGGCUAUGUGUGUAGCUUGAGUUGCUGCCUUGGACCAAACGUGGUGAUCGACCAAGGUAUGGUUUAGGUUUUGCGCAUUUAAUAUAUAAUGUUCUGUAAAAACUUAGGCUAUAUGACCAUAGGAUAAGUUGGAAUGCAGGUGUGUAUUUAAUGUUUAGUAUCUUAAUGAUGGAUAUAUUUGAUUUGGUGCUUACUGGAUAAUUGGUGAUUUAAUGAAUUAUUGUGGUUUGUUGCUUGUUGGUUGGUUGGUUGAUGAUGAUUGAUGGAUUUUUGUUAAUGAAUUGAGGAUAUAAGCAAAUAAAUUUUAAAGUUGUGACUUAUAGUUUGAAUGAUGGAUUUUGAGGAAAUGUAUGAGCAUUAUUGUUGGUAUGAGACAUAAUUGUUAUGGUGGUUGAUAUGUUAAUGAAGAAGUGUUGGAAAGUGCAGGUUUGGUGAUUAUUGACAUAGGAUUUGUCAUGGUUGAAAAUGAGGUUUUAAGAGUUUGCAAAACGUUGGUUUUUGGCCGAACUUCGACGAGGCAUAACUUGGCUUCUGAACCCUCAAUUUGUUUUCAACUUAUUUUAAAUGAAAAUUGGGUUCGUAAAGUUUACGCCGUUCGAAGAACGGAAGAAAAAUGAUUUAAAACGAUUAAGUUAUGCACGUUAGAAGUUUUGGUGUGAAUUAUGUAUUAUGCAGGUGAAUACUACAGGUUUAUGCAGCUUUCUGGGUGAUCUGGUGUUUUUUUUAAGAACGUACGUCCACGCGUACGCGUGGCAUGGAAUUUUAAACUGUGCGUGCGCGAGUAGCCCCAUGCAUACGCGUAAUGAACCAGCCUGCAUGACCACGCGUACGCAUGGUAAGGGAAUGCGCGCGCGAGCUGCCUUUUUAUACUCCCACGCAUAUGCGUGUCCCCUGUUUCCUGCAAAAAUAGAUUUUUGUGUUUUAAACCAGAUUUUAGACUUUUAAACCACUAUUUUCAUCCUUUUAGUCAUAAAGUAUAAUACUAAGUCUAAUAGCUAGUUGAAGUUAGGAAAAUAAGGUAACUUGGGGAUGAAGAAAGGGGGUAAACAUGAUGAGUUAUAAGAAAAAGAUGUAGAUGUUAAAUGAAGUUAUGAUGCCAUGGUUACGAUGAAUGAUUAUAUAAUUAUUAUGAAUAUUAAAUGGCUUAUGAAUUAAUGAUAUCUGAGAUACGAGUUUUCCUGGGUAACAGAACCGUGGCUUGCCACCACG